rnacentral:lncRNA from 1 species
UCCCAACCAUGAUGUCUCUGAAAUAUAACAUAAAGAAUAUCAGAGACUCGCUUGAGUAAACUCGCACUCGAUAACUCACCCCACUUGUUCCUUGGUACCCAAAGGAUUCUUACUUAGGGUGCGCACUGCUCCGAUGUCUUUAGCAGUACGGGCCCUAUACUACUGUCCACAACGCAUCAGCAUUCACUCAAAGUCCUCCUCCAUGGAUCCCAGAUCACAAGCACUCUAUAUCUGACUGGCAUAGGCUACCCUUCGGUAACCUCUCAUCAGCUCCUCACUGCUACCUACUCGCUCUCAAGCAUCACAUAGCAGCAAAAUCCUUCCUAGGCUAAGGCAUAACAAUUCAGGCCAUUCUAGUGCUAAUAUGAAUACCUAGCCUACUCUAGCAUGCAUAGCAUAUCAUAACAUAUCUCAUAACACAUAAUGUAAGGGUAUUUUGGGAAAUCACCAUUCAGGCGCUGGCUGAUCGUACACACUGCUUCCUUCUGCCUUUCUCAAAAUCUUUCACUUUCUUAGAAAAAUUCUUUAUUUUAUAAAAACCUUUCUCAAUUCCUCAGUUUGAGUUCAGAUCCAUCCGAAGAUGCACCUGAAUCCCUCAAACCAAGGCUCUGAUACCAACUUGUAACGACGUAAAUUUUCAAAACAAAUUUUCAUUUGAAAACAUACUUUCAUUCACACGAUAAUCAUAAAAACAUAAUGUGUCCACUGUAACAUAACAAAACAUAUCUCAAGAUCUCAAUAUCAUAAACUCUAUAAGUGUGUACGGAUCAUGCCGACGCCUUCCCGCGAUCCUCGCUCGCACCUGAAACACAUAACAUAACAACUGUAAGCAUAAAUGAUUAGUGAGUUCCCCAAAAUACCANAUACGCCUUUCCAGGCCAUAACAUAGUAGGAUCUUCCGAUCCAUGUGUCUCAGGGACUUCCGUCCCAAAUUCCGGUAGACCUUCCGGUCCGUAACCUCUUGACCAUCCGGUCCAUAACCUCUAGAACUUCUGGUCUAUAACAUGCAUAACAUACAUAACACAUACAUAUCAAAUAACAACAUACAACUCAUACAUCUCAUAGUAUAUAAGACCUUCCGGUCAUACAUAGGUACCCUUCCAGGUACAAUAUAGUGAGAAGACUCACCUCAACGAAGUUGGAUAAACUCUCGUGCUCAACGUCCCGACUUAGCCUCCUCCCAUUAUUCAAAUAAAUCCUGAUCUGAAUUAUCUCAUGAUCUCAUCUCUACAAACUGGGUAGAAGGCCAUUCUACCCUACCUUGAACUCUCCUGAAUUAGUCUUGACCAGAACCCUAAAGUUAACGAAAUUUAACGGUCAAACUCUUACCCGACUCGUCGAGUGCACAACGGCAACUCGGCGAGUCCAUACGGGUCCUCUAAAUCCUUUCAGACUCUCUUGGCUCGUCGGGUCAUUCUUCCACUCAACGAGCUACACCUGACAUGAAUCGCGGGUCAACCCCGACUCGACUCGUCGAGUCUGCUCAUGGACUCGGCGAGUUCAUUCCAUGCUCACACUCAACUAACCUUCUGAGGUCAGAUCUGUUCCUCUAAUCCAUAGAUAUGACCUUCCUAAGCUCAAUAAAUAUGUAAAGGUUCAAACUUGAUACUCAUGCAACGUCCAAAUGACUGUUCGUGAAGAUUUAGCCCCAAAUACAACAUCCUAAGUCCAAUCCUUUCAUAACUCACCAUAAAGAAAGAUGGAUAACGUCCUUUGGACCACUAUUGGUCCAGAUCUGAAGCCUAAACAUGAUAAGGGACCAUAUCUCUAACAAAUCAUCCCAAUAAAGGGUAUAAAAAACCCUAGAUCCAUGGAUUCUUUAACAAAACAGAAAGAGGAUUGAUAUGCUACCUCAAAGAUGAUGCCCUAUGCUUGAAAUCCACAAAUAUGCAACCUCCUUGGCCUCCUCUAAGCUGGAAUCAACUUCUUCUUGCAAAACCAACCAACAAAGGUCAAAUAUUGGCCUCUUCUCUCUCACAAAUGCCCAAGCACUAUUAUGGUUUCUCUCAAGGGUCUGGUAGCCGCAAAUGGUGGCUAUAAGGGUCCUUAAAUAGGUCCCAAACCCGAGAAAUUAGGGUUUCAUUAAAUAGCAUGGACUCGCCGAGUCCUCCAUUAAAUCAAACCAACACAUGUGCGAUCCUACUCGGCGAGUCUGAGCGCCUACUCGCCGAGUCCCUCUCUAAUAUUCAAUAUAAAUACUUAAAAUGAGAUAGUAGGGAAUCCGGAUGUUACAAUUCUCCCCCACUAGAAUCAGACUUCGCCCUCGAAGUCCUGCUCGGCAAACAACUCUAGAUGUUGCUCCCGCAUCUCCAACUUCGACUCCCAGGUCAGCUCGGACCCAUUCCGAAGUUGCCACUGGACCUGCACCAGAGGCACUUCCUUGUUCCUCAUAACCUUGAUCUUCCNAGCAUAGUUCAGGCUCGCAUCUACUUGAAUAUCCUCCAGCAGUACCACUGCCGACUCGUCGGCUAUACACUUCCUCAACUGAGACAUGUGGAAGGUAUCAUGAAUCUGGCUCAACUCCGUAGGUAGCUCUAACUGAUAUGCUACCUUGCCCACCCUUGCGGUCACCAUAAAUAGACCGAUCUACCGGGGCCCCAGCUUGCCCCUCUUCCUGAAUCGGAUCAGUCCUUUCCAAGGAGAUAAUUUCAGGAGUACGAAGUCCCUCACCUGGAACUCCAGCUAGGAUCGUCGCCGAUCCGCAUAACUCUUAUGACGACUCUAAGCCGUCAAUAACCUCUGUCCAACCAAUUGUAUCUGCUCUGCCGUCUGAAGUACUAUCUCAGUGCUACCCAGCACACACUGCCCUACCUCUCCCCAGCAAAUGGGAGUCUGACACCUCCUCCCAUACAACAACUCGAAGGGAGGCAUACCAAUACUAGAAUGACGGCUGUUGUUGUAUGAAAACUCAUCCAAUGGCAGAUACAUGUCCCAAAUUCCUCCGAAGUCCAACACAUAUGCUCCGAGCAUGUCCUCCAGCAUCUGAAUCGUCCGCUCACUCUGUCCGUCCGACUGGGGGUGGUAGACGGUACUGAAAUGCAACCUGGUACCCAACUCCUCGUGGAACUUCUUCCAGAACCUGGAAGUGAAACGUACUACCUCAUAUGACACAAUCGAGAUCGUUACCCCAUGCCGCGAUAUCACCUCCCUCACAUACAACUCUGACAACCUCUCGGUAGAAGAGCUCUCACGGAUAGCAAUAAAAUGUGCGCUCUUUGUCAGCCGGUUGACGAUCACCCAAAUUGCAUCGACACCCCACGCGGUCCUCGGUAAUUUGGUGAUGAAAUCCAUGGUAAUCUGUUCCCACUUCCACUGGGGAACUUCAAGCGGCUGCAACUUGCCAUGCGGACGCUGGUGCUCGGCCUUAACCUUGCGAUAUGUCAAGCACCUCUCAACAAACCACGUGACAUCCCUCUUCAUACAGGGCCACCAAUAAUCUCUCUUCAGGUCCAAAUACAUCUUCGUGGCCCCGGGAUGGAUCGAGAAUCUCGAUCUAUGCGCCUCCUCCAUUAGAAUGGUACAUGCUUGUCCUGUAUACAGCACCCAAAUCCGACCUUGAAAGGUCAUCAGCCCUCGACUAUCGGUAACAAACCCAGGUACCUGUCCAAUCACCCGCUCCCUCUUGCGGUUCUCCGAUCUCACGGCUUCAGCCUCGGCCUCCCGAAUGGUGUCCAACACCGGAGACAUCACUGUCAGUCUCAUACAAGUGCCUCGAAUCUGGGCACUGUCCGCCCUUCCGCUCAGCGCAUCAGUUACAACAUUAGCUUUGCCCAGGUGGUACAGGAUCUCACAAUCGUAAUCCUUUACCAUGUCCAACCAUCUCCUCUGACGCAUAUUCAGAUUGGACUGAUCCAUCAAAUACUUCAGGCUCUUGUGGUACAUGUAUAUUAUACACUGAACCCCAUACAAAUAGUGAUGCCAUAUCUUGAGGGCAAACAUUACUGCCCCCAACUCCAGAUCGUGGGUAGGAUACCUUGUCACAUGAGGCUUCAGCUGCCUUGAUGCAUACGCUAUCGCAUGCCCCCUCUGCAUAAGUACUGCACCCAACCUCGAUAUUGAUGCGUCACAAUACACCACAAAAUCCUCCAUCCCUUACGGGAGGGCUAACACAGGGGCUUCACAUAACUUCUGGUGAAGUGUCUCAAACGAGGUCUGCUGCUCCAGACCCCAUGAAAAAGCAACACCCUUCCGGGUCAACCUGGUGAGAGGCAUGGCGAUCUUGGAGAAGUCUCUGAUAAAUCUGCAAUAGUAGUCGGCCGAUCCUAGAAAACUCCUGAUCUCGGUGGGAGAUCUCGGCACCUCCCAACUCAUAACCGCCUCAAUCUUGGCCGGAUCGACCAAAAUCCCAUCCUGGUUGACAAGAUGCCCCAAGAACUGGACCUCUCGUAACUAGAACUCGCACUUGGAGAUUUUGGCAUAAAGCCUCUCCGUCCUCAAUACUCCGAGAAUCUCUCUUAGAUGCUCCUCUCUAGAUCUCGAAUACACUAGUAUAUCGCCGAUGAACACGAUCACCAAACGAUCUAGCAUCGGUCUACACACCCUGUUCAUGAGAUCCGUGAACGCUGCUGGUGCCUUGGUAAGCCCGAAAGGCAUCACCACGAACUCGUAAUGCCCAUAAUGAUUCCUGAACACCAUCUUCUGGAUAUCCUCAGCACGCACUCUCAUCUGGUGAUAUCCAGACCUCAGAUCAAUCUUGGCAAACCAUGACGCUCCCUACAACUGAUCGAACAAAUCGUCGAUCCUCGAUAAUGGAUAAAGGUUCUUGACCGUCAACUUGUUUAACUGCCGGUAAUCAAUACAUAUCCGGUGUGAACCAUCCUUUUUCCUGACAAAAAGGAUCGGUGCUCCCCAUGGCGAGCUACUCGGUCGAAUAAACCCCUUCCCCAACAGCUCCUGAAGCUGCGAGGAUAACUCCUGCAUUUCUGGCGGUGCAAGGCGAUAAGGCGCCUUGGCGAUAGGCGCUACCCCCGAAACCAAAUCGAUGCGGAACUCUACCUGCCUCUCGGGAGGCACACCCGACAACUCCUCGGGAAAAACAUCCAGGAACUCGCGCACUAUCGGAAAGUCAUCCACCGAACUUGGCCCCUCCGUGGCCCCUCGUGUGGCCAUCACAUAGGCUACAAACCCGCUGCAGCCCUGCUGCAAACUCUGUCUCGCUCUGGCAGCCGAACAAAACAUUGAUCCAGAAUGAGUACCCUCGCCGUACACUGAAAGUACUCCCUAACUAGGGUCUCGUAUCGUCACCAGCUGACGCUCACAGUCUAUAACAGCCCAGAAUCGGCUCAACCAAUCCAUGCCCACUAUAACACACACGUCCCCCAUCGCUAUCGGGACCAGAUUUAUCGGAAACUCAAUACCGAAGAUCUCGAGUUCACAUCCUCGUAUCACCUCCGCAGCAUACACCGCUCGCUCGUCGGAGAUGGAAACUCGUAGAGGUCGAAUCAACACCUCUCAUCUACUACUGAUGUGCCGACUAAAUGCUAUCUACACAAAUGAUCGACUCGCACCCGAGUCAAAUAACACUAAGGCAGGUAUAGAACUCACAAGAAAAGUACCUACGCAUAUCAUCAUAUAAGCACAAUAUCUCAACUCAACAUAAAAUAAAUAAGAAUACAUACCAGCCACUACAUCAGACGUUGCACGGACCUCCUCCGCUGUCAAUUGGAAAGCUCUCCCGCGAGCCUUUGGUGCCUCAGCCUUCACUGGCUGAACCUCGAUAACCCUAGCAGCAGGUGUAGAUCCAUGUGCUGAUCCCUGAUGUAACUGCGGGCACUCGGCCUUCCGAUGGCUAGUCUGGUUGCAAUGAAAGCAAACCAUAAAUCCCUUGGGGCAAUCUUUGGCGAUAUGCCCAUCCUUGCCACAUUUGUAGUAAGCACCCGAUCGACAGACCCAUCAUGACCCUUGUCGUACUUUCCGCAAGUGCGGCCCUUCUGGCUUCCAGAUCUCGUAUCAACGGACUUGGCCCGCUUGGCUUCCGUCUAAGACUGUGCUGGCCGCCGAUCCAUCCUCUGAGACUCGGCCUCCUCCCUGGCCUGAGUCUCCAACUCAAUCUCCCUCUUUCGGGCCUUAACCUGGAGCUCAGCAAAUGUCCGGUAAGUCGAGUUCGUCAUAAACUCCCGUAUAUCCCACUUCAAAACGCCCAAAUACCGGCUCAGGGCAGAACACCGCCCUCUCAUGAAACUUCCUGGUAACCACAGUAACCGAAUCAGUACCCUGAUUGAGGGUCAAGAGCGCCUGCACCAACCGUUCCCUCUCCACAGGGGGAACAUACUCAUCUCUGAACAUGGUGGUGAACCUCUCCCAGGUCACCGCUGAAAUCUCUACAAGAGUGAAGCACGACGUCACGAACUUCCACCAAUCCUUUGCUCCCAAUCGAAGCUGGUUCAACACGAACCGUACCCUCAUAUGCUCUGGACAUGAACACGUGUAGAAGCAUCCCUCGAUAUAAGCAAUCCAUCUCAUCGCAGCGAUCGGAUCCUGCGUUCCAUCAAACUCCGGUGGCUUCGUGUUGCUGAACUCUCAAAGCAACAACGAGUCACCUCCCUGAGGACUAGCAGCAGCCACAGCUGCAGAAGCAGUAGCCUCAGUCACCGCGGCGUAUCGCUCAUCGAAAGUCUCAAUCAAUGUGGUGUUGAUAGACCCAAACAUCUCCAGAAUCUCAGCCCUGAUCACCGCCACCACCUCAUUGUGGAUCAUCUGACGAAGCUCCUUGUUACUCAAGCCACUCGGCUCAGGUCUGUGAUGUGUCCCAACCAUGAUGUCUCUGAAAUAUAAUAUAAACAAUAUCAGAGACUCGCUCGAGUAAACUCGCACUCGAUAACUCACCACACUUGUUCCUUGGUACCCAAAGGAUUCUUACUUAGGGUGCGCACUGCUCCGGUGUCUUCAGUAGUACGGGCCCUAUACUACCGUCCACACAACAUCAGCAUUCACUCCAAGUCCUCCUCAAUGGAUCCCAGAUUACAAGCACUCUAUAUCUCACUGGCAUAGGCUACGCUUCGGUAACCUCUCAUCAGCUCCUCACUGCUACCUACUCGCUCUCAAGCAUCACAUAGCAGCAAAAUCCUUCCUAGGCUAAGGCAUCACAAAUCAGGCCACUCUAGUCCUAAUAUGAAUACUUAGCCUACUCUAGCAUGCAUAUCAUAUCAUAACAUAUCUCAUAACACAUAAUCUAAGGGUAUGUUGGGAAAUCUCCAUUCAGGCGCAGGCUGAUCGUACACACUGCUUCCUUCUUCCUUUCUCAAAAUCUUUCACUUUCUUAGAAAAAUUGUUUAUUUUUUGAAAAACUUUCUCAAUUCCUUAGUUUGAGUUCAGAUCCAUCCGAAGAUGCACCCGAAUCCCUGAAAACAAGGCUCUGAUACCAACUUGUAACGACGUAAAUUUUCAAAACAAUCUUUCAUUUUAAAACCUACUUUCAUUCACACGAUAAUCAUAAAAACAUAAUCUAUCCACUGUAACAUAACAAAACAUGUCCCAAGAUCUCAAUAUCAUAAACUCUAUAAGUGUGUACGGAUCUUGCCGGCGCCUUCCCGCGAUCCUCGCUCGCUCCUGAAACACAUAACAUAAGAACUGUAAGCAUAAAUGCUUAGUGAGUUCCCCAAAAUACCACAUACCCCACAUACGUCUUUCUAGGCCAUAACUUUGU